UGCUACUUGAGGUGGAUUCGUUGAUAUUGUUAUUGUUAGAGAAAAACUUUUCCCUGAAACAAAUGAGGUGAUUGAAAACGCUCUAUUCAAAUAUUAAGGAAAAUAUUUUGUGGUUUCUCGAACACUGCUGCGUGGAUGCCUAGAAUAUAUUGCGAAGCGGACUGUUAAGACUCGAUGAAAGCUGAACACUAUCGGUUUAUCGUUUUGGGACAAGAUGGAUGCAAUCAACGGUUCUUAAUAUUGUAUUGUUGGUGCUAGAGUAUAUAAAUAGAAUCGAUUAAUAUUCCAACUUAUUGUAUCGUGGAACGGGCAACCUCCGAAACUGGUGCACGUCGUUGCUCCGAAAGCUGUCUUAUCUAAUUAAAUCACAUCACGGACGCGGUGUUUUGAUGAUCACGUCACAACGAAUACCAGCUCACACUACAGCUAUCAAGUUACGUAUUAUCUAAAUAAAUAAAAAAAAAUAAUUAUAAUAUUUAUCUUCUUACCGCUGUAAUAAAUUUACACAAUAAACGAAAUUAAAAGUGUCGAUAAAAACCCGUUAGGUUACCACUGUUUAAUCGAACAUUGAUUUGUUAAUGAAGUAGUGAUUAUAUUGAAAGUGAAAUUAUGUAAUUGAUUUGUCAUACUUACUAUCUAAAUGAUCAAUAAAAAUAACUGCGUUUCAUGGUGACUGAGAUAAUGAAGUCAGAGGCAUAGGUUAUUGUUACUGUUGUGGUAAAUAUUACACACGAAUUGUUUAUAAAUGGGCUCACUAGAGAGCAUAUUUUUAUGCAAAGAGACAGGUUGACUUCUUUAGUGACUAAGAUUAAUUUGGAUUGUUAAUUGUGUUUACUACCUGUAUGUCAGUUGGAAUUUUAAUUGGCACGAUAAUUUUACUGGAUUUUAUUUAAUGACUUUGGUAUUUUGUUGAUUUACAUUGAACUUAAUUACCAAUAGACAUCGACCUAUUCAUGAUUGUUAUCGUAAUUUUAUUAAUUACACAUUACUAUCAAUAAAUAUCAUAUAAAUUAAUAUUUUAUUGUUAUUAUUUCAGCCAUUAACUGUCCACUGCU